rnacentral:SRP_RNA from 1 species
GCCAGGCGUGGUGGCGCAUGCCUGUCAUCCCAGCUACUCAGGAGGCUGAGGCAGGAGGAUCGCUUGAACCCAGGAGGCGGAGGUUGCAGUGAGCAUGGAUCAUGUCACUGCACUCCAGCCUGGGUGACAGAGCGAGACUCCAUCUCAA